CUCACAUGAAGUGCUCGCUCCAUGCUAAGAGCUUUACGAGCAUUAUCUCACUUCAUUCUGAACCCUAACAAUUGGGUCUUAUCAUUCAUUUUAUAGAUGAAGAAAUAAGUCCAGAGAAACUGAACUCUCCGAAUGACAUGGUGGGCUCAAACCCAAGUCUGUCAGACUCAGGCUGAUGCUCAAGAGAAGUUCUGACCCGAUCAGGGUCACCCCCAAAGAAACAGUGGGGCAGGGACUCACACACCCAGUCUUCCAGCUGCACAUGUUCUGCCCACCGCAUGGGACCAGGCCACCCCCACUGCAAGCCAAAGGGCUUGGUGUGUGCCUAGCACACUGCACACCAGAACCAGCCCCCAGCAUGCAGAUCAGCAUCGUCUGACACAGCAACUAGACACGUGGGCUCAGCUGUCAGAGGAAAUCUUCCCGGAAGGAGCCCACCCCAAAGAGGCCUUGAAACAAGUAGCCAAUGGAUGACUUGGUGCAGCAACACAGGCCUGCUUCAGACUCCCUGGGGAGACGGUUGAGAUCAGAUGGAUUACACAGCCAUCACCAUGUGAGGUGCGAUGACAAAAGUGUCCAGAGACUGGAGAGUAACACUGAGAAGACAGCAGGGGCUGGACAGGGAAGAGCUGGCACAGGUACCUCACAACUGUCUUUAAAUAAACCAGCUGUCUGUACUUGGAGCAGCCCAGCCUUGGCUGUGUGACACUUGGCCUCGGGGAGCCUUGGUUUCCUCAUCUGUGAAAUGGGGAUAAUAUCUGCCUCCAAAUAAGAUAAUGGAUGGGAAAGCAUUUCAAAAACAGUGGAACUGCUGUAAAACUCAUAGGAGGCUGUUAUGAUUUGCCCUGAAUACGACUUGACUCACCAAGCAACGUUAUCUUAAUCUGGGUUCCCAAGGGAACUCUCCUACUGACCAGCCAAGAAAAUAAAUACUCCCUCCAGAGCCAGAGCACAGACGCUGCAGGGGCAGUGGCAGGGGCAGGGAGCUGCAGACUGGCCACCUGAACCUUGUGGCCCAGACAACCAGGACAAAGACCCGCCAGGCUGAGCCCUCACCGCCCCCACCUGCCGCCCUGCCUCCCCGAGAGGAAGCCUGAGAGCCCAGAAGAGAAGCUACUGACCUCUUGUAGGUGUAACCGAGGACGAUGCCAGCUCCAAUGCCGAUGAUGAUCACCAUCAUGGUAACGCCCAGCACGUAGCCUGCCAAGGACAGGACACAAGAGAAUCGUCUUGCUGCGCCGGGAGCCACAGUCUGCACUAUGGAGUCUAAGAAACUUGGAUUCAAACCUGGACCCUCCACUGCCUUUGGCAGUGAGGCUGAGGAGAGGCAACGCAUCGAUGAAGAAGAAUGAGCAGAACUCUGUGACCAAGGGGCUGUCGGGAACAAGCAGGAAGACCUAAGGAGGCUGGCUUUGGUGUGGGAGCUCGUCAGGUGGUGGUACCACUCGCUGAGAUCAGGAGCCGGAAGAAAAGCAGGCUGGGGGAAGGCUGAGAAAAUGUGGCCAAAGCACAACUUCCCAGAAAGUAGGCUGUGGCAGAAUGCAUCUCGCCUGACUCCAGCCAGCUGCAGGUGUCUGGAAGAGGGUUGAAGAUGGUCAGAUGCUAAGGGCAGAGCCCCUCUUCUUCUCUCCACCCCCAAGCCCCAAGUGCCAGGGUAAGAAAGCUGAGAUUCAGAAGGGUUCUGCACAAGAGAGCCAAUUUUUGGUUGCUGCCACACAGAGAGAGACAACAGCCAGUCAGUCUUGAAGAGCAGCAGCCAACCAGCAGAGAGAUGGCCACUUCCCCAUGGCCUCCUGGUGUCUGUCCACAGCCCCGCCGCAGACAGGAGCAGGCGGGAAGUGGCAGAGGACAGACCGCCUUCCGCCACCCUCCACUCAGGCCACCAGGGCCAUGGCCACGUCUAGCUUCCCUGGGAGUAGAGGCCGAGAGCUUUGAAGGAGAGCUUGACCUGGACAUUU